rnacentral:rRNA from 1 species
UACGGGGGGAGCAAGCGUUGUUCGGAUUUACUGGGCGUAAAGGGCGCGUAGGCGGCCACCGCAAGUCGACUGUGAAAUCUCCGGGCUUAACCCGGAAAGGUCAGCCGAUACUGCGGGGCUAGAGUGCAGAAGGGGCAACUGGAAUUCUCGGUGUAGCGGUGAAAUGCGUAGAUAUCGAGAGGAACACCUGCGGCGAAGGCGGGUUGCUGGGCUGACACGUGACGCUGAGGCGCGAAAGCUAGGGAGCGAACGGG